rnacentral:rRNA from 1 species
CCUACGGGGUGCUGCAGUGAGGAAUAUUGGUCAAUGGCCGGAAGGCUGAACCAGCCAUGCCGCGUGAAGGUCAGUGCCCUAUGGGCGUUAAACUUCUUUUGUGCGGGAGCAAUAAUGGUCACGUGUGGCCAGACGAGAGUACCGUACGAAUAAGCAUCGGCUAACUCCGUGCCAGCAGCCGCGGUAAUACGGGGGAUGCAAGCGUUAUCCGGAUUUAUUGGGUUUAAAGGGUGCGUAGGCUGUGAGGUAAGUCAGCGGUGAAAUGCCCCCGCUCAACGGGGUGAAGUGCCAUUGAUACUGCCUGGCUGGAAUGCGGAUGCCGUGGGAGGAAUGUGUGGUGUAGCGGUGAAAUGCAUAGAUAUCACACAGAACACCGAUUGCGAAGGCAUCUCACGAAUCCGCGAUUGACGCUGAUGCACGAAAGCGUGGGUAUCAAACAGGAUUAGAUACCCUAGUAGUC